CGACCGCCAGGAGUUUGACACAACUUGUUUGAUCGAAGAGCCAAUGAGAUUCGAACUACGUACUCUAAAAGAUGGUCGGGCGCCAAUCACAAAUGAGAUCACGCGGGCCCAUGGCUUGGCGCGGCGGUCGUACCUACCUUUUCACGACGAUUUUCGAUGAGCAAGUCAAGUGUCUCCGAAGAAUGUUGAGAAGUGUUGCAAUAAGAUAAUUUCCGGGCAGUUUUAGUUGAAAACUAAGUGCCGGGCCAAAAACACACUCGCUGAAUGACUGAAAAUUUUCCGCUGUCUGCAGGGGGGGUCAAAUUUCAACCGACUGGAAAAAACGUCCAUUAAUCGGUUAUUUGUGGGUAUACGGACCUGUAUGCAUUUGCUUAUACGUGCGCUUAUGAUCAAGUGAGAGAAGCAAUUACUAUUUUUCAGACCUGCGAUAGUUUCAUUCGGAAGUUUAAUUUUUUAAACGUGUACAUUUACAAAUUUUAGUGUUGUGAUUUCGUGUUGUUUCUUCUCCUCGGCUGUUUUUUCUUCCUCUCGUGAUAAAAAAAUGCGGGAAAAAAUACUGUAUGCUAGAGUACGACUAAAAUCUAAAAAUUAACCGUGGAGGUAUUGAACUCGGGUUAUUUGUGAAGUGCAGAGUGGCUAUUUAUUAUUGUUGAAAAAUCUGAAAAUGCACAAGCUACAGAGGAGAAAAAUUCUAUUCACCGUCGCGGCAGCAAUUACUUUGUCUCAAUGCAUAAUUUGGACAGCAAUAUACAUAAGUGCAGUGACACUAUACUCUUGCUCUACUCAACUGUCGUACUUUACAAAUCUAUUGCAGAGAGGAGAUCAAAAGGGAAAUACACGAAUCAACUACAUAUCAACUUUGACGUACGUGGCAUAUCUGUGGAACGGAAAAUGUAAGAGGGGUAAUGCGACAAAAGCAUUUUACUGGCCAGACCGAAUACCGUCAUCAGAGAGGACAUACGCGUGGAUGCUUUCUUAUAGCCUGGUUACAUCUUGUUGGAUUCCUGCUUCUGUUGGAUUAAUAGUAAGUGUUCAAGUUUAAACAUUUAAUUGAGAGAGGCGAUGUGCUACUUGCUAUAAAAUGCUAGGUAAAAGGGUCAACGUUGACAAUCCAUCUUAGUUUCACUAAUUUAAGAGGAAUUUAUUUUCAAGACAAAAAGGACAUCUGAAGAGGUCUGAACAAGAGGGGCUCAAUCGAAAUUUGUAGCAUUGCACAGUUUUAUCUGACAAAUUAUUUCUGUAUACAUUAACAGCUGUUAUUCAUAUUGAGCCUUUCAGGUUAUUUUCAUUGAAAUGAAAAUCUUAAAGAGACUUUUAAGUAGAAUUUUAUAUAUUCUUCUUGAAUAUAUAGGUCUUGUAUGUAUCUUGAUCUAAUAUGUAUUCAGUAUACUCUACCGACUCUGAAGUCUGGCAAAACUUUACGAUUUUGUGAUGCAGUUAAGUCCCUUAAGAUGACCCCUCCAUUUGAUAAUCUCAAACCUUUUUUCGGCAAGCCUAAAAUCUGGAUCAUUAAUAACAGCAAGGUUUGCUUUAGAACAAAAUAGAGAAGUAUUCGCAGUGCCAGGAUCUGCUGGUCUUAAUAUAGGAGACAAUUUGUACUUGGUCUACCCUUAAAAUAACAGAAACUGGAGAGGAUAUUAUGAUGUCACUGCUUGUCAGUUGAUUGGUCAUAGUGAUUUAAAAUUCCCUUAAAAAUAAUUUGAUUUUUUUACCCAAAAAAUCCGAAAAAUCAAAUCGACUUUUGAGCCCAUAAUCGAUUUUUCCAACCAGUUUACGCUUCAAAUCUGCGCAUACUUAAAAUUGAAUGAUUUUGGUCAAAAUGUUGAAAUGUUGACAGUAACGUCAUAUUAGAGAAGAGAUUUAUCUUCAUUUCAACCUGGAAUAUCAAAGAAAUUCAUUUUUGAGAAAAUCGAUUUUAGGCAUUGGUCUAAAAUUAAAAUUAAUUUUAGGGAGGAGUCAAAAAUUAAUUUUCUUUUAAAAACUGCCAUCACUGCACUUGAUACAACAAUGCAGUUGCGCAUGCAUCAUAAAUCAAAUUUUCAUCAAUCAUGUUAAAAACCUCUUUCCAUAAAAUAAGUUCUUGUUCUGAGAACAGCUCAUAUUGAACCUAUCUGAGGUCUGGAGAUUCUUGCAGCUGUUGCAAGCCAAAUCAAUAUACAUUACAGGGAUAGUGAUUGAAUGGCUUGUAUUUACUUUGAUACUUAUUAAGGACCUUAAAAUAGAACUUAACGGAAAAUACAUUGUUUUUACAAUGUAUCAGUGAUUUGUCCUUUUGAAUUUAUUAUACAGCUACCAUGAUCUUUCAAUUAUAUUAUUUUUAGACUCUCGGUUAAAAAAAAAAUGUUGGUCUAUUAAUAAGCAAUUUUCAUUGAAAGUCACCCUCACACUUAAGUUUGAGCAACUAUUUAAUGCUUUGGCAUUCUUCUUAAAUCCUUUCUUACUUGUGUUCAUGAAAGAGCUAUUCACAGAAAAAAAAAUUAAAGAUCCAUUUUGAUGCUACUUUUUAUUUAAAAAAUAAGCUUGCAAUACACUUAUUGAAUUUUACAGCUGGUGCUUUCUAUGGUCAGAGUGAAGAUGCUGUGAUAUGUAUGUCUCUGCCAUGGCUUGUAAUCACGUUCAUUCUGACCGUGAUGGAUCUUUCUGCGGCAGUUAUGUACACUUUUGACAUUUUCCAUAUGACGGUAAUUUCUUGUAACAUAAAAUGUAGUUUUUAAGGUGAAAAUACUAGCCAUUAAUGGAUAUACUAAUGUGUAUGUGCAUUAAAAUACAUUCGAAUAUGAUGACUAGAGUACAAAUUUUUUUUGGCGAUUUUCUGAAGCUGGAUCAUCAGUGUAAGAAUUGGCUACUCUCCUGUGACUUCAUAUGACACCCGAAGUCAUUAAACCUAUAAUCAGUCUCCCUCAAAUGAAACGCAACAUUCAAUUGCAAAAUUAUUUAAACAUUUUCGUUGCACUAUGCUACUUGGGAUGCUGCAUAGCGAGCUAUGUGGCAUCAACAAACUUCAAGAAGAUAGUAUUCGUUUUAUGUUCCCCAGCAGUUUUCAGAAAUAAAAAUAUGAAUAUCUCAAAAUCAACUUUUUGGUAUUUAGCUGAUUUUUUAUGAUAAGUAUUUGGGUAUAGCAGAUACAUCAAUCGAGUGCCCUCAAUCGUUCUUUUAAUGACUUUUGUUCUCCCUAAAAACUUUCAGGGGUAUUACAAAGAAGGGUAACAAACUCAAUGCAAAAUAAGUUUCAACUCAAGAAUAAACUAAAACAAAUUCAUUGAUUUAUAUCGAUUGAUCAUUCGUAAAAUGAAAAUUCACACUGUACAAUAAAAUUACAAAUGUAAAAAUACAUCAGAAUAAAUGUUUGUAAAUGUGACACCCACAGCUUUUCUGAUGUGCAUUUAGGAAAAAGAUAAUUAAAAGGUUAAAGAUAGCACUGUACCUUAUGAAUUUUAAUUGAGAGGUUUUGACCAGGAUCUGCAUUUCAUGUUGCCCAAUUUCUCUUGCGUUUGAUGCAUUUUGAUGACAGAAAAUUAAAUAAUAUAACGCCUUGAAACUUUUUGUUUUCUUCCUCUCCAUUAUCAAGAAUAUACUCGCAAAAUUUCAAGUUAAAAUGUUCGUAGUUUUCUACUUACGAAAUAAAACAGGAGAGGAAAUUGGGCAACGUCUGAUGUAGUUACACUGAUUUUAAUUAAA
rnacentral:lncRNA from 1 species